CCUUCGAUAGCUCAGUUGGUAGAGCGGUGGACUGUAGUGAGAAAUUGCAACGUUGUAGACAUCCAUAGGUCGCUGGUUCAAAUCCGGCUCGAAGGA
rnacentral:tRNA from 1 species